UAAACUGUGUUUUGUUACAGGGAUCUUACCUGUGUAUCUGGAAAUGAGGAAGGAUACAUUAGUCUUUUCAAAAUUAGAGGAGAUUGAAUUCCCUUAUAGAUGUUGUACUUGCAUAUAGCCAUUUUCUGAUCUUCCUAUAGUCUCUCAUAUUCUCUCUUAUACUUUAAAUAGACUCCUUUUUAACAUCUCAUAGAAUGUAAAUUCUCUAUAAUUACUUGAUAUACUGCACUGUUUAGGAAAUAUUAAGCAAAGGCUGUUGUUCAUGUUUAAUAUAGAUGCACUUUUUACCCCAAAUAUGUUUGACCCAAUGGUUGGUUGAUAUUGGGACCUACGGGGCAACAGUAUGUGUAGUUCAGGUCCAAAGCCGCAAUAGUUAAGAAUAACAGUCAAAUAAUGAACUACAAGGAGGUACAGAAUGUUAGACAUUACAUGUUUAUGAGUUUCAUCACCAGCAUCCUUAUCGCAGGUUUCCUGGCCUGAGUCAGGAAUGCCUGGCUGGUGUUGGACAUGAAAGGCACUAAAGACUGGUCAAGUGCUCACGUGUUGCCCUUUGUGGCUGUCUUGUUGGUUUUGGCAAAAAACAAAACCACAGCCUAGCUGACUGAGACAGCUGCUAACUCUUGAAUGUACUUCCAGCAACUAAGGUUUCAACAGGCCCUUCUGUGUGUCUAGAAGUGGAUACCCCAGUGGAGUUCACCUCUGAAUAAGCAAUGCCAAUUUGUCUCAGUGUUGGUGUGGUUUAACUAUUGUUUAUAUGUAAAUAGUUCUCCAGUUUUAACCUAAAUAGUUGCUGCCAAUAAGAAUGCCCUGACUAGAUUCUCUUUAACUACAUAAAUGUGAAAUACAUUAUAUCCCAAAGUGGACACUUUUUGUUUGUUUGUUUGUUUGUUUGAGAAAAGUCCUCUCUAGGUAGCUCUGGCUAGCCUAAAAUUACCUAUGUAGGCCAGGCCGACCUCUAACUCACAGAGAUCCACAUAUUGCAGCCUGGCAAGUGGUGGGAUUAAAGGCCUGUGACAUCAUGAUUAGCCAUAGAUGGACAUUUUAAAGAUCAUGAUGUGAACUAGUUAUUGAAUAAGAUAUAGGAAAUCCAUGAUU
rnacentral:lncRNA from 1 species